AGCGGCAGCACGGGAAGCUUGCUUCCUGGUGGCGAGCGGCGGACGGGUGAGUAAUGCAUAGGAAUCUGCCCGGUAGUGGGGGAUAACCUGGGGAAACCCAGGCUAAUACCGCAUACGUCCUACGGGAGAAAGCAGGGGCUCUUCGGACCUUGCGCUAUCGGAUGAGCCUAUGUCGGAUUAGCUGGUUGGUGAGGUAAUGGCUCACCAAGGCGACGAUCCGUAGCUGGUCUGAGAGGAUGAUCAGCCACAUCGGGACUGAGACACGGCCCGAACUCCUACGGGAGGCAGCAGUGGGGAAUAUUGGACAAUGGGCGCAAGCCUGAUCCAGCCAUGCCGCGUGUGUGAAGAAGGCCCUCGGGUUGUAAAGCACUUUCAGUGGGGAAGAAAGCCUUCCGGUUAAUACCCGGGAGGAAGGACAUCACCCACAGAAGAAGCACCGGCUAACUCCGUGCCAGCAGCCGCGGUAAUACGGAGGGUGCGAGCGUUAAUCGGAAUUACUGGGCGUAAAGCGCGCGUAGGUGGCUUGAUAAGCCGGUUGUGAAAGCCCCGGGCUCAACCUGGGAACGGCAUCCGGAACUGUCAGGCUAGAGUGCAGGAGAGGAAGGUAGAAUUCCCGGUGUAGCGGUGAAAUGCGUAGAGAUCGGGAGGAAUACCAGUGGCGAAGGCGGCCUUCUGGACUGACACUGACACUGAGGUGCGAAAGCGUGGGUAGCAAACAGGAUUAGAUACCCUGGUAGUCCACGCCGUAAACGAUGUCGACUAGCCGUUGGGUCCUUCGCGGACUUUGUGGCGCAGUUAACGCGAUAAGUCGACCGCCUGGGGAGUACGGCCGCAAGGUUAAAACUCAAAUGAAUUGACGGGGGCCCGCACAAGCGGUGGAGCAUGUGGUUUAGUUCGAUGCAACGCGAAGAACCUUACCUACCCUUGACAUCCUCGGAAUCCGCCAGAGAUGGCGGAGUGCCUUCGGGAACCGAGAGACAGGUGCUGCAUGGCUGUCGUCAGCUCGUGUUGUGAAAUGUUGGGUUAAGUCCCGUAACGAGCGCAACCCUUGUCCCUAUUUGCCAGCGAUUCGGUCGGGAACUCUAGGGAAACUGCCGG
rnacentral:rRNA from 1 species